AUAUAUUUAAGAUUUACUUACACUACCAUAAGCAAUUAAUCAUUGAGUGGUGCCUUCGAAAAAAUAAAUAGUACAGUAUAGAAAGUGAAACAUAUCUGUAAAAUAUAGUGUAGUACAGUGUAACUAAGCUAAGGAAAAUUAAGUACAUUGUUAUGCGAGUUUAAUCAUGAUUCUUUGAUUUACAAAAUCAUUAAAGUAAAUUGAAAAUGGAUUAUAUAUGCAUAUAUGAUUCUCUUGGUUUUGUAAAAUCAUUAGGAUCUAAAAAUAAUGGGUAUUGGAGUGGACCAUGUUGGAGGAUGUUCUAAAUUGAUUAAAUCUUCUCUGUCACAUGAAAUCGAAAUCAAAGUCAGCGUCAAUUAAUA
rnacentral:lncRNA from 1 species